rnacentral:pre_miRNA from 1 species
UAUAAGAUUUUGAGUUUUUACUUGCACUGUUUGACCACUCGUCUUAUUUAAAAAAAUUUGGAAUUAUUUUUUUUGACUUACUUUAUUAUCCAAAGUACUUUAAGCGCAACUUUUCAUUUUUUAUAUUUGCACAAAUUUUUUGAAUAAGACGAGUGGUCAAACAGUGUAAGCAAAAACUUAAA